rnacentral:rRNA from 1 species
GCAGCAACGCCGCGUGCGGGAUGACGGCCUUCGGGUUGUAAACCGCUUUCAGCAGGGACGAAGCAACACGUGACGGUACCUGCAGAAGAAGCACCGGCCAACUACGUGCCAGCAGCCGCGGUGAUACGUAGGGUGCGAGCGUUGUCCGGAAUUAUUGGGCGUAAAGAGCUUGUAGGCGGUCUAUUGCGUCGAAAGUGAAAACUCAGGGCUCAACCCUGAGCCUGCUCUCGAUACGGGUAGACUUGAGGGAUGUAGGGGAGAACGGAAUUCUUGGUGGAGCGGUGGAAUGCGCAGAUAUCAGGAGGAACACCGGUGGCGAAGGCGGUUCUCUGGACAUUUCCUGACGCUGAGAAGCGAAAGCGUGGGUAGCAAACAGGCUUAGAUACCCUGGUAGUCCACGCCGUAAACGGUGGGUACUAGGUGUGGGGGACAUUCCACGUUCUCCGUGCCGCAGCUAACGCAUUAAGUACCCCGCCUGGGGAGUACGGCCGCAAGGCUAAAACUCAAAGGAAUUGACGGGGCCCCGCACAAGCGGCGGAGCAUGCGGAUUAAUUCGAUGCAACGCGAAGAACCUUACCUGGGUUUGACAUAUGCCGGAAGGCCUAGAGAUAGGUCCCCCCUUGUG